UUUGCCUUCUCUUCCUUUGAAAUACCCUUCUGCUUCUUCUUCUUCUUCUUCACAUUUCGCAAGUACUACUGUUGCUCUUUUCAAGUCAAAAGCUAAAGCUCCUGCCAAAAAGGUUAGCUAAUUACUGUUGAAAAAAAGUCAUUAUCCCCUUUAAUUAUGUAUUUUGUUUAUUUUCAUUUACCGUCUUUCUUUAAUAUAAUUGGGCUAAAUUGCAUAUGCAAUUUGUUGAAUAUCUUAUUUUUUUUAAUUUAUUUUUGAUGGAGCAACAGGUUGUACCAAAGCCAAAGGAAAAAGUUGAGGAUGGGAUUUUUGGAACCUCAGGAGGAAUUGGUUUCACUAAGCAAAAUGAGCUCUUUGUUGGCCGUGUUGCUAUGAUUGGUUUUGCGGUGAGUAUUUCGAUUAAUUAGUUUAUCAUAAUUUUUUAAUGGCUCUUAAAAUAAAAAUAAACAUAGUACUUUUAUUAUUCUACUAAAGGCUCAAUAUUAUAGUAUUUACAUAGUUAGACAAAUAAGUCGCAUCCCAAGGCCAAAGCCUUAUUUUAUUGAACAGGUAACGGAUAAUGUGGUAUCAGUUCGGAAAAAAAAAAAUUCGGACUCAAUGCAUGUAUCAUAAUUCAUAACAUAUAGAUUUGUCGUAGUUGAGUGAUAAACCCCUAUAUUAAUUAAAACUUUGUGUUGACUUGCACUUAUUGCUAUUAUAUAGCUUUGUCUAGUGAUAAUUCAAUGUAAAAAAUAAUAUUAUGUACUAAAACUCUAUGUAGAAACAUAUGACUUGCGCGCGCGCACACACGCGAUUGUUAGACCCUUUCAAAUGCGGACGAAAAGUAUGAGAAAAUAUCCUUUACAUUUAGAAAAUAGUUUGACACUUCCUUCUUAAUAAGUAGUAAAAUUUAAGUAAUAUUUCUUCCUAUAAAUACAUUGUGCACCACUAAUGUAAUGAUGUUAUAUAGGCAUCUUUGUUGGGAGAAGCAGUAACAGGAAAGGGAAUUUUGGCACAACUGAAUCUUGAAACUGGAAUUCCAAUCUAUGAAGCUGAGCCACUACUUUUGUUCUUCAUCCUAUUCAAUCUGCUUGGAGCUAUUGGAGCUUUGGGAGACAGAGGAAAAUUUAUUGAUGACCCUGCCCCUGCUACUGGUCUUGAUAAGGCUGUUAUCCCUCCUGGCAAAGGCUUUAAGGCUGCUUUGGGUCUUAGGGAAGGAGGUAAUAAUAAGCUCCUCCUUUUCUUGAUAUAUAUUUUUACUUUAUUAGGAAGCGGAUAAUAUUUUUAACAAAGUACUCCUAGUAUGUCCAAAACACCACGUGAAAUAUAGAUGUUACUAAACCCUUCGGGUGGCCUAAUUAGUUGAGCAAGGGACUUUCCAAAUAGGAGGUCUAGAGUUCGAAACCAUUUGCAUGUCUCUUCAGUCGAGCCCGUCGCAUGGGGUUUGCUAUUAGUAGAGUUUAUCCUGUGCGCACCCGAAAGGUAGCGGCCAGCAGAGGCGUAUCUAGGUUAAAGGGUAUGGGUUCACGUGAAUUCAUACUCUUCUCCCUAAACCAUGUAUAAUAAUGUCAUAUUUCUUCAAAAUUAUUUAAAUAUAUGUGUGUGCACCGAUGCUCAAAGACUCCUAUGAUGCAAUUAUUAUUUGGUGCACCUCUACAAGUGACAUUGACAGUUCAAAUCCCACACCAAACGGUCUCGUUUUCGGUACGAAGUAUAGAUAUAUAUGUGAAACUUACUAAAAUUUUAAAAAGAAUAUAAUUUUAAACCUAUAAUUUCAAUAGUGUAGUGAGUUCAUGGUAAGAGACUAAAGUUAAACAUGUCAAGUGUAAAUUCUAAAUCUACCUCUUCACAACAGUGCACCCAUCCUCUUGAAAUCCUGGAUCCGCCUCUGGCGGCCAGAGGCGGACCUAUGUGUUACAGUGAGGGGUCACCGACCGCGUAAAGUUUCGGCAGAAAUUUUGUAUAUACAAAUGUAUAUAUCUUGAAAAUAGUUAAUUUAAGGCCCUUGACACCCUGAACAGUAAAAUCCUUUUGGGUGCACUGAUUGAGCAUUAUAUUAUGCCUCGUCACGUAAAAAUCCUAGAUAUGCCUCUGGUAGCGGGUACGGGAUAUAUAUUUUAGUCUUUUUAUUAAUUGAGUUGUAUCAGCUGCAUUUAAACAAAAGAUACUCCUUUUUAGGAGUAAAAUUAUCUACACUAUUUUAUAGUGUUUGAGUUGGUUUCAAGAAUCAACUUGUAGUAUACUAUAAACAUGUACAUUAUGAAAGAGGUGUAUAAAAUAAUCUUUAGUUGGUUUGGCGUUGGAUUUAACGAAAGCGUUGUAUAAAUUCAGGUCCUCUAUUUGGAUUCACAAAGGCAAAUGAGCUGUUUGUAGGAAGAUUGGCACAACUGGGAAUUGCUUUCUCUAUUAUAGGAGAAAUUAUCACAGGGAAAGGAGCUUUGGCACAACUUAACUUUGAGACAGGUGUACCAAUCAAUGAGAUUGAGCCCCUUUUGUUGUUUAACAUUGUCUUCUUCUUCAUUGCUGCCAUAAAUCCAGGAACUGGCAAAUUUGUCACUGAUGAGGAAGAGGAGUGAAGACAGACCAGUUAGUUUCUGUGUGGCUUUUGUGUAGCUUUUUCCAAUAAACUUAAUUUAUAUUUCUUCUAACUUGUGUGCACUCCAUCGCGAUUAUCUUAUUUAAUUUCCAGAAAAAUAAGUAAUAUGGAAGUUCAAAUGAUUGGAAGUUGAAGAGUACCGUAAAUGGCUACUGUGAUGAUAAAACAAUUCUGUCACAUUUCCUCUCACGGUUCAUGAAGAACUUCAAAGGUCAAAGAAAACAAGUGUGAUUAUAGCAAUCUAAAAUUGGGCUUUUUUCCUUCUAUAUACAAUAUUUCAAACUUAUUUACCAAAAAUGUGAUUUGUAAUUUACCUGCUAUAACCAUGAUUUCUUCCUUUAAAGUGUCUCCUUCUAGCUGAGUUUUCCUUCUUUAAAGCGUGAUUCACGCAAAGGGGACGCAAAGAAAAGAACAUGGGUUUGCAACGGAAGAUUCGAUGAAGUGAGGGUGAAGAUUGAAUAAAGCGGCAAUCUCCAAUAAAGGUAGAGAUAAAAACGAGGUUGAAUAGAGGAAACUAAUACCAUUUCUUCUUUUGGCUUUUUGCCCUCACUAGUGUCUCUCUCUUAUUUGCUCGUCCAAUGAGAUGGUCUCUAUAAAAUUGACACAACUCUUACGAACCACGAAUGGAAUUGUACUUGUACUUUCUAUUAGGAGUGGUACUAAAGUGAGAAUCAGCGUGUAAAAAUGUUGAAAUUUUGAGUUCAUUAACUUUUCACCCUUUUAUAGUCAUUGCCAAAGUUGCUAUAGGGCGG
rnacentral:lncRNA from 1 species